CCUGCCUUCAGCCGCCUCCGGGGACCGCAAGCAGUUCGCCGCCGUGGGGUAGGCAGCAGGCGCUGGGGCGGUGGCACGAGGCGGGCCUGGGGCUCCGCACUCCCUCACGGACUUCGAGCGUGUGUUGCCGGGCUGGGUUUGUUGUUGUGGAGGUGUGUGUGUUUUUCCGGCGGGGUGGGGGGGCGGCCUCACCCCUGGGCAUUUCCGCGGUUGUCCUCGGGCCCUCGCCGGGGUGUGAGGAGCGGCGCAGGUUGGACGAGGGCGCGGGGUGGUCCCCGGCACCCCGCUCCGGCCCCUUGGAGGGGGAGCGGCGCGGAGGGGCGGGGCGGGGUGCGUGUGUAAAUGUUGCGCACUCUCUUUUCCCCCACCCCCGCCUUCUUCCAGGGUGCUGGCGUGGGUCCCUCGCCGUCCGGCGGCGACUGUAAAUAGAGCCUGGAUGUUGUUUACAUGAAGGAUCCGGCGGGAGGAGUCUGCGAGGAGGAGGCGGAGGAGGAGGGAGGGAGGAGAGAGGAAGAGCGGAGUCCCCGCGGCGGCGGCGGUCCGGGGUGAGGGGGAGCCCCGCGCGGCGUCCGGGGACCGGGCGCUACCACGAGGCCGGGACGCUGUACCCUGGGCUACCCGCACGCCAGCUGCCAGCUUCUUGGAGAAGGACCACACCUGUGCUUAUUCUCGCUUUGGAGGAGAGGGAACCGUGAGGCGCGACGGCGCGGCCGGGACGGCGGGGAUCCGGACGGCCCCAAGCCCGGGCCAAGAGAGCCUCGCUUCGAGCAGAGGCCGAGGGUGGAGAAGCGCGUGGGGGCCGCCCCUUCUCGGCGCCAGAGACCGCCCCCGCGCGCCUCGCGGGGCUCCGCCGGGGGCCGCGCGCCGAGGGGGCGGGAGCCAGAGCGGGAACGGCG
rnacentral:lncRNA from 1 species